rnacentral:rRNA from 1 species
GCAGGCUGCAACUCGCCUGCAUGAAGUUGGAGUUGCUAGUAAUCGCGGAUCAGAAUGCCGCGGUGAAUGCGUUCCCGGGUCUUGUACACACCGCCCGUCACACCACGGAAGUUGGGGGUGCCCAAAGUUGGCAGGAUAAUAUGUUACCUAAGGCAAAACCGAUGACUGGGGUGAAGUCGUAACAAGGUAGC